rnacentral:rRNA from 1 species
AGCAGCCGCGGUAAUUCCAGCUCCAAUAGCGUAUAUUAAAGUUGUUGCAGUUAAAAAGCUCGUAGUUGAAUUUCGGGGUUAGUAGGUUGGUCAUGCCUCUGGUAUGUACUGGUCUCACUGAUUCCUCCUUCCUGAUGAAUCUUAAUGCCAUUUAUUUGGUGUCUUGGGGAAUUUGGACUGUUACUUUGAAAAAUUAGAGUGUUUAAAGCAAGCUAACGCUUGAAUACAUUAGCAUGGAAUAAUGAAAUAGGACGUUCGAUCCUAUUUUGUUGGUUUCUAGGAUUGACGUAAUGAUUAAUAGGGAUAGUUGGGGGCAUUAGUAUUCAAUUGUCAGAGGUGAAAUUCUUGGAUUUAUUGAAGACUAACUACUGCGAAAACAUUUGCCAAGGAUGUUUUCAUUAAUCAAGAACGAAAGUUAGGGGAUCGAAGACGAUCAGAUACCGUCGUAGUCUUAACCAUAAACUAUGCCGACUAGGGAUCGGAUGAUGUUAAUUUUUAAUUGACUCA